rnacentral:rRNA from 1 species
UACGGAAGGUCCGGGCGUUAUCCGGAUUUAUUGGGUUUAAAGGGAGCGCAGGCCGGAGGGUAAGCGUGACGUGAAAUGCCGCGGCUCAACCGUGGAAGUGCGUCGCGAACUGCCUUUCUUGAGUGCAUCCGAGGCAUGCGGAAUUCGUGGUGUAGCGGUGAAAUGCUUAGAUAUCACGAAGAACUCCGAUUGCGAAGGCAGCAUGCCAGGCUGUAACUGACGCUAAUGCUCGAAAGUGCGGGUAU